GACGAACGCUGGCGGCGUGCUUAACACAUGCAAGUCGAGCGGUAAGGCCCUUUCGGGGGUACACGAGCGGCGAACGGGUGAGUAACACGUGGGUGACCUGCCCUCAGCUCUGGGAUAAGCCUGGGAAACUGGGUCUAAUACUGGAUAUGACUCCACGGUGCAUGUCGUGGGGUGAAAGCCUUGUGCGGCUGAGGAUGGGCCCGCGGCCUAUCAGCUUGUUGGUGGGGUGANGGCCUACCAAGGCGACGACGGGUAGCCGGCCUGAGAGGGCGACCGGCCACACUGGGACUGAGACACGGCCCAGACUCCUACGGGAGGCAGCAGUGGGGAAUCUUGCGCAAUGGGCGAAAGCCUGACGCAGCGACGCCGCGUGAGGGAUGACGGCCU
rnacentral:rRNA from 1 species